rnacentral:snRNA from 1 species
AACUAUGAAGGUGAUCUGGUUGUCACAUCUGUCACCCCACUGAUCACCAGGGUUGAUAUGGCUGAUGUGGUUGGCUAGGUAGGUCCCAUCCUCCCUCACUGAACCAUGUGCAUCCUUCCUGAACCUGUGCCUUUGAUGGAAAAGGACAACCUUCUCUGAUAGAGAAGGACCAUUUUUUUUUGUCAAGUGCAAAUGAGUAGAUGUGCUCCCCUUGGUAGAACCUCCAAACAUUCUCUCAAGUGUCCACUGAUUCAGGUUUGUGAGACACAAGCUGCUGUUGUGAAGAGACAGAUAUCUCAAACACUUAAACUCAAACCCUUCUACAGAG